UACGUAGGUGACCAGCGUUGUCCGGAUUUACUGGGCGUAAAGAGCGCGCCGGCUGUCGUUCACGUCGAGUGUGAAAGCCCCCGGCUCAACUGGGGAGGGUCAUUCGAUACUGAUCGACUGGAAGGCAGGAGAGGGAAGCGGAAUUCCCGGUGUAGUGGUGAAAUGCGUAGAUAUCGGGAGGAACACCAGUGGCGAAGGCGGUUCUCUGGGCAUUACCUGACGCUGAGGAGCGAAAGUGUGGGGAGCGAACAGG
rnacentral:rRNA from 1 species